rnacentral:rRNA from 1 species
UACGUAGGGUGCAAGCGUUAAUCGGAAUUACUGGGCGUAAAGCGUGCGCAGGCGGUUCGCUAAGACAGAUGUGAAAUCCCCGGGCUUAACCUGGGAACUGCAUUUGUGACUGGCGGGCUAGAGUAUGGAAGAGGGGGGUAGAAUUCCACGUGUAGCAGUGAAAUGCGUAGAGAUGUGGAGGAAUACCGAUGGCGAAGGCAGCCCCCUGGGCCAAUACUGGCGCUCAUGCACGAAAGCGUGGGGAGCAAACAGG